CCUACGGGAGGCAGCAGUGGGGAAUAUUGCACAAUGGGCGGAAGCCUGAUGCAGCAACGCCGCGUGCGGGAUGACGGCCUUCGGGUUGUAAACCGCUUUCACCCAUGACGAAGCGCGAGUGACGGUAGUGGGGGAAGAAGCACCGGCCAACUACGUGCCAGCAGCCGCGGUGAUACGUAGGGUGCGAGCGUUGUCCGGAAUUAUUGGGCGUAAAGAGCUUGUAGGCGGUUGAUCGCGUCGAUAGUGAAAUCCCGGGGCUCAACCUCGGGCUUGCUGUCGAUACGGGUUGACUUGAGGAAGGUAGGGGAGAAUGGAACUCCCGGUGGAGCGGUGGAAUGCGCAGAUAUCGGGAAGAACACCGGUGGCGAAGGCGGUUCUCUGGACCUUUCCUGACGCUGAGAAGCGAAAGCGUGGGGAGCAAACAGGCUUAGAUACCCUGGUAGUCCACGCUGUAAACGGUGGGUACUAGGUGUGGGUCGCAUUCCACGUGAUCCGUGCCGUAGCCAACGCAUUAAGUACCCCGCCUGGGGAGUACGGCCGCAAGGCUAAAACUCAAAGGAAUUGACGGGGCCCCGCACAAGCGGCGGAGCAUGCGGAUUAAUUCGAUGCAACGCGAAGAACCUUACCUGGGUUUGACAUGUACUGGAAGCGCUCAGAGAUGGGCGUGCCUUUUCGGCCGGUUCACAGGUGGUGCAUGGCUGUCGUCAGCUCGUGUCGUGAGAUGUUGGGUUAAGUCCCGCAACGAGCGCAACCCUCGUCCAAUGUUGCCAGCAGUUCGGCUGGGGACUCGUUGGAGACCGCCGGGGUCAACUCGGAGGAAGGUGGGGAUGAGGUCAAGUCAUCAUGCCCCUCAUGUCCAGGGCUUCACGCAUGCUACAAUGGCCGGUACAAAGAGUUGCGAGCCUGUGAGGGUGAGCGAAUCUCGGAAAGCCGGUCUCAGUUCGGAUUGGGGUCUGCAACUCGACCCCAUGAAGUCGGAGUCGCUAGUAAUCGCAGAUCAGCAACGCUGCGGUGAAUACGUUCCCGGGGCUUGUACACACCGCCCGUCAAGUCAUGAAAGUCGGUAACACCCGAAGCCGGUGGCCUGUCCCUUGUGGGGGGAGCCGUCGAAGGUGGGACUGGUGAUUAGGACUAAGUCGUAACAAGGUAGCCGUACCGGAAGGUGCGGCUG
rnacentral:rRNA from 1 species